rnacentral:rRNA from 1 species
AUUGAACGCUGGCGGCAGGCUUAACACAUGCAAGUCGAGCGGAGUGAUGGUGCUUGCACUAUCACUUAGCGGCGGACGGGUGAGUAAUGCUUAGGAAUCUGCCUAUUAGUGGGGGACAACAUCUCGAAAGGGAUGCUAAUACCGCAUACGUCCUACGGGAGAAAGCAGGGGAUCACUUGUGACCUUGCGCUAAUAGAUGAGCCUGAGUCGGAUUAGCUAGUUGGUGGGGUAAAGGCCUACCAAGGCGACGAUCUGUAGCGGGUCUGAGAGGAUGAUCCGCCACACUGGGACUGAGACACGGCCCAGACUCCUACGGGAGGCAGCAGUGGGGAAUAUUGGACAAUGGGGGGAACCCUGAUCAGCCAUGCCGCGUGUGUGAAGAAGGCCUUAUGGUUGUAAAGCACUUUAAGCGAGGAGGAGGCUCUUUUGGUUAAUACCCAAGAUGAGUGGACGUUACUCGCAGAAUAAGCACCGGCUAACUCUGUGCCAGCAGCCGCGGUAA